AUAAGUCAACUGUUAAAUCUUGAGGCUUAACCUCAAAAUCGCAGUCGAAACUAUUAGACUAGAGUAUAGUAGGGGUAAAGGGAAUUUCCAGUGGAGCGGUGAAAUGCGUAGAGAUUGGAAAGAACACCGAUGGAGAAGGCACUUUACUGGGCUAUUACUAACACUGAGAGACGAAAGCUAGGGUAGCAAAUGGGAUUAGAUUCCCCAGUAGUCCUAGCCGUAAACAAUGGAUACUAGAUGUUGAACAGAUCGACCUGUGCAGUAUCAAAGCUAACGCGUUAAGUAUCCCGCCUGGGAAGUAUGCUCGCAAGAGUGAAACUCAAAGGAAUUGACGGGGGCCCGCACAAGCGGUGGAGCAUGUGGUUUAAUUCCACGGUACACGAAGAACCUUACCAGGAUUUGACAUGCUAGAUAGUUGCUUGAAAGAGUAACGUGCCGUAAGGAAUCUAGACACAGGUGGUGCAUGGCUGUCGUCAGUUCGUGUUGUGAAAUGUUGGGUUAAGUCCCGCAACGAACGCAACCCUUGUCUUUAGUUAUUUUCUAAAGAGACUGCCUGUAAUAAACAGGAGGAAGGUAAGGAUGAGGUCAAGUCAUCAUGCCCCUUAUGUCCUGGGCUACACACGUGCUACAAUGGGAAAGACAAUGAGCUGCAAAUCUGUAAAUUUAAGCAAAUCUUUUAAACUUUCUCGUAGUUCGGAUUGUGGGCUGCAACUCGGCCACAUGAAGUUGGAAUCGGUAGUUUCGCCAGUCAACUAUAUGGCGG
rnacentral:rRNA from 1 species